UUUUGUUUGAACUUUUUCCUACGAUAUACUAUGGGCUUUAAACUUCCAGGCAUGGCACUGAAAGUUGAAGGUCGUGGACCAUCUAGACUGUUUAAGGAACAAGGAUCACCAUCCUUUGAAUCAGAUUCCAUACAGACAUCAAUAGGAUAUUUAUCUUUUUCUGGACUCAUUUCUGACAAUUCAGCACCAGAACCCUGGUCGCAUGAAGCUCGUUUCGUGAUCUCAGAUGAGACAGAGGUUGCAAAAGAAGUUUCUUUGCAACCAGAAAGAUAACUUUUUAUCAGCAUAUCAAUUGAGCCACACACUAAUAUAAAAGAAUUAUGUUUCUCUUGCUUACGCGUACAUCCACCAAAAUGAUAUGCUCCUAUACAUCCAAUCAAAUGAAGUAUCAGAGCCUUUUUGUUGUUGUUGUACUCCCUUUGGUUGAAAGUGAAGAUGAAAAACCGCAGAAGAAACCAAGUGCGGCACUGGCGGAGAUGGAAG
rnacentral:misc_RNA from 1 species